UACGUAGGUGGCAAGCGUUGUCCGGAAUUAUUGGGCGUAAAGCGCGCGCAGGCGGUUCCUUAAGUCUGCUGUGAAAGCCCCCGGCUCAACCGGGGAGGGUCAUUGGAAACUGGGGAACUUGAGUGCAGAAGAGAAGAGCGGAAUUCCACGUGUAGCGGUGAAAUGCGUAGAGAUGUGGAGGAACACCAGUGGCGAAGGCGGCUCUUUGGUCUGUAACUGACGCUGAGGCGCGAAAGCGUGGGGAGCAAACAGG
rnacentral:rRNA from 1 species